rnacentral:rRNA from 1 species
GACGAACGCUGGCGGCGUGCCUAAUGCAUGCAAGUCGCACGCGGCACCUUCGGGUGCUGAGUGGCGAACGGCUGAGGAACACGUGGGGACCUGUCCGGGAGUGGGGGACAACACCGCGAAAGCGGUGCUAAUCCCGCAUACGCUCUGAGGAGGAAAGCCGAAAGGCGCUCCCGGGUGGCCCUGCGGCCCAUCAGGUUGUUGGUGGGGUAACGGCCUACCAAGCCAAUGACGGGUCGCUGGUCUGUGAGGACGACCAGCCAGACUGGGACUGGGACACGGCCCAGACUCCUACGGGAGGCAGCAGCAAGGAAUUUUCGGCAAUGGGCGCAAGCCUGACCGAGCAACGCCGCGUGCAGGAAGACGGCCUUCGGGGUGUAAACUGCUUUUGCUAGGGAGGAUAACAGACAGUACCUGGCGAAUCAGCCCCGGCUAACUCUGUG